rnacentral:rRNA from 1 species
GACGAACGCUGGCGGCGUGCCUAAUACAUGCAAGUUGAGCGCUGAAGGUUGGUCCUUGUACCAACUGGAUGAGCAGCGAACGGGUGAGUAACGCGUGGGGAAUCUGCCUUUGAGCGGGGGACAACAUUUGGAAACGAAUGCUAAUACCGCAUAAAAACUUUAAACACAAGUUUUAAGUUUGAAAGAUGCAAUUGCAUCACUCAAAGAUGAUCCCGCGUUGUAUUAGCUAGUUGGUGAGGUAAAGGCUCACCAAGGCGAUGAUACAUAGCCGACCUGACAGGGUGAUCGGCCACAUGGGGACUGAGACACGGCACAAACUCCUACGGGAGGCAGCAGUAGGGAAUCGUCGGCAAUGGACGAAAGUCUGACCGAGCAACGCCGCGUGAGUGAAGAAGAUUUUCGGAUCGUAAAACUCUGUUGGUAGGGAAGAACGUUGGUGAGAGUGGAAAGCUCAUCAAGUGACGGUAACUACCCAGAAAGGGACGGCUAACUACGUG